rnacentral:rRNA from 1 species
CGCGGAUGCUUUCAAUGCAAGUCGAACGGUAACAGGCCGCAAGGUGCUGACGAGUGGCGAACGGGUGAGUAAUGCAUCGGAACGUGCCCAGUCCGUGGGGGAUAACGCAGCGAAAGCUGUGCUAAUACCGCAUACGAUCUAUGGAUGAAAGCGGGGGACCGUAAGGCCUCGCGCGAUUGGAGCGGCCGAUGUCAGAUUUUUUAGUUGGUGGGGUAAAGGCCUACCAAGCCAACGAUCUGUAGCUGGUCUGAGAGGACGACCAGCCACACUGGGACUGAGACACGGCCCAGACUCCUACGGGAGGCAGCAGUGGGGAAUUUUGGACAAUGGGCGCAAGCCUGAUCCAGCAAUGCCGCGUGCAGGAAGAAGGCCUUCGGGUUGGAAACUGCUUUUGUACCGGAACCAAACGGUCUGGGUUAAUCCCUGGAC